AACAUCGCGCACCUGCGGGAACCUGCGGAGGGAUCAUUAAUGAUUGGUGGCUGUUGCUGACUAGUGUUUCUAGUAUGUGCACGCCACACCUUCAAUCCCACUUACACCUGUGCACCUUCUGUAAUAGAUCUACGUGGAUACGGAGAUAUGAAAGUUUGCGCUCUCGUACUCUGUUGAAGCAGUCUACUACGUUUUUUUACACACACACAAUAGUCAUUGAAUGUAUUUUUUAUUCUUAUG
rnacentral:misc_RNA from 1 species